UACGGAGGGAGCUAGCGUUGUUCGGAAUUACUGGGCGUAAAGCGCGCGUAGGCGGCUUUGUAAGUUAGAGGUGAAAGCCCGGGGCUCAACCCCGGAAUUGCCUUUAAGACUGCAUCGCUUGAAUCCGGGAGAGGUGAGUGGAAUUCCGAGUGUAGAGGUGAAAUUCGUAGAUAUUGGGAAGAACACCAGUGGCGAAGGCGGCUCUCUGGCCAUCAACUGACGCUGAGACGCGAAAGCGUGGGGAGCAAACAGG
rnacentral:rRNA from 1 species